GGCCGGCGAGGGGGGCGGUGGCCGGCCGGCGGGGUCGCCGGCGUCGUCUUCCCGGGCCGGAGGCGGGGCGUGCCCGCGGCGGCUCCUCCCCCUGGGCUCCGCGCCGGCUCUGGAAGCCCGAGUGCGGGUGGGAGCAAGCAAACGAGUGUGUUCUCCUUCCUCCUCCCUCUCUCCCGUCGUCCGCACUGGGCUGGGGCGGCGGCGCCUGAGCGGUUCCCUCGCGAGCCGGUGUGGACCCAGCGGCUGGGAGAGGAGGAGGAGCGCCCGGGCCGGGCGGAGACGCUUGCGGGCUCCGCGCAGACUGAACUGUGCUCGUGUAAGGUUGGCAAACUCGCGGCGAACGUCACGGUUGCUGUUGAAAUCCGGAGGGCGGGCAGAACCAUGUCACAUGGAUCGGGAGGCUUCGCCUGCUGAUAUCAGAAGGGCUGGGGAUGACAGAAGGACUUCGGCUAAACUGUCCUUUCCCGACUUCCAGCCUCCGAGGAGCCUUGGGCUUCGGACAGUCAGCCACACGAGGAGAUGACUGCCUGGGGCCGAAGGAAGACUCCCACGCACCCCCCACCCCGUCCCCUUCUCAAACCCGUCCCCCUUUCUCCUCCCACGCCUCCGCCUCUGACCCCAAGGUCUCCACGUCCAACGCCCCAUGGCCAGGAGGAAGGCCCUUCUGUGGAUUCACCGUAGCUUCUGCUCCCACCUGGGAAGGCUCCGGCAAGGGCUGCAGCACAGCUCACCUCCCUGCACGUCCUGCCCGUGAACUCAACGGAGGGACCGGAAGGGCUGACGUCCCCUAGCGGCCGGAGGACCCAAUCGCGCGGAGUGGCCCUGGUUCCCUCCAGCUCCACGUCUUCGGGACUGGCCGGUGUAGGCCCGACGCGAAGCCGGCAGAGCAGAGAGACGGCGGGAGAGAAGGAGUAUUUCGCCCAAGUCUUUCCGAACCGCGACAGUGAUGAAGACUGGUUACCGGGUAUUGAGCUGCGUGCUGUCGAACCCAUCACUUUAGACAUCGUUUCUCUUAAUCUUCAGAACAUUCUUCAGUUAAAUGCCAUUUUGUAGAUGAUGUUAUAAACUGGGACUCAGAAGCUGAGCCAUUUCCCAAGGUUUCAUGCCAGAAUGUGGCGGAGGCCUGAUUCCAACCCUGCUUGGCCACCCAAAACUGCCUUUCCAACCACUGUACCAGCUAGAGAAUGGGGAAGACUUCCAAUUCCAGGAGCGAAAGGAUUUAAAGUAACAUUUACCACUAGUUUCCUCACUAUAAAAGCCACAGGUGUUCGCUAUUAAAAAUCUGAGUAAUAAAAAACCUUGAUUAAUGUUAAGAAUUUGAACUUAGCCAUCAUUCCACUCCCUACAGGUAGUAGCUACUAUACAUUCCAUUUCCAGUAUUUUUCUGUGAUUGAACGCGUGUGAGCACGCAUGUAUGUAUGUGUGUAUAUUUGUGCAGAGUAUAUAUGUAUUAUAAACUAGUUUGGGGGGUGCUACAUUUUUAUCUUAAGACUAUACUGUAGAUUUCCCAAUUUGGGGGUUGUUCAUUGCUAGUAUAUAGAAAUAUAAUUCAUUUUUGUAUGUUGAUCUUGUAUUCCACACUUUGCAGAUUUACUCAUUUUAGUAGUGUAUGUGCAUGUGUGUCUGUGUGUGUGUGCGCCCACGUGCUUUAAGAUUUUCUGUACAGAAUCAUAAGUCUGUGAAUAAAGACAAGUUUCGUGUUUUCCUUU